UGAACUUAGAGCAUGGCCCAUGCUGAUCACAGACAACAAAGAGAAGUUUGAAAUCCCUGACCUACAACAGAUGAACUGCAGUCAUACUGCUUUUGCUUGUUUUAACAAGCAGAUGAACAUUCUUCCAGAAACUUUAUCCGUGUUAAGGCU